AUUCACUUCUCAUCUCUGUUUGCAAUUACAACGCCCUCUUCUCCACCCUCUACCUCUCCCUUAAUUUAAUUUCGCAUUAAAGAAAUCCUCUAUAUAUAAUGCCCCAUUCAACUACACCAAAACCCAUCAACAACCACUUUCUCUUUGUUCUUCCUCAACUCCUAGUGGUGGCGCCGCCGUGUGCAGCUUAGCUUAGUCAAUCCCCAGUUUCUUCCACCACCGAUCCUUCUCCCGGCAAAUCUCCUAUCCCUUAAGCAGGAUGAACGGCGGGAACGGGCUGAAGCUUGAUCUGAAGUUGAAUCUGUCGCCGCCAAGGGUGAGCCACCCGAUGGUGGUGUCGCCGCCGAUCCGAUCGUCGACGGGUUCGCCUUCGAGCUCAUGUGUGUCGUCGGAGAAUCAAGAUGACGGCCGCCGCUUUUGCAGCAGCCCGGAGGGGGCGGCGGCGACGUCCAUGGUUCUUGUCGGGUGUCCCAGGUGUCUUAUGUAUGUGAUGUUGGCUGAGGGUGAGCCCAAGUGUCCCAAGUGCAAAAGUACUGUUUUGCUCAACUUCUUCUACGAUCAUCAGAGCAAUAACGCCAGGAGGACAUGAUAUGAUACUCAGAUCGAUCAUCAUCAUCAUCAGAUCAAACUUUAUUAUCUUAUAUAUAUAAUAUUGGCCAUUUGUUGGCCCUAGCUUUAUAGGAAGAAGUAGGCAAUAUGGGUAAAGCGGCUAUGGUGUAUUGUAGGUGCGUUUAAGGUUGCUGGCGUUCAUGUCUCUCGGAAAACAAUGAAAAUGGCCGCUGAAAAGUUUCCCAGAGUUUUCUUAUGAGCUAUGGACAUGGGAAUUGAAAGAAGAGUAGAUGGAUUAGUUCAUUUAA